rnacentral:rRNA from 1 species
AUUGAACGCUGGCGGCAGGCCUAACACAUGCAAGUCGAACGGUAACAGGAAACAGCUUGCUGUUUCGCUGACGAGUGGCGGACGGGUGAGUAAUGUCUGGGAAACUGCCUGAUGGAGGGGGAUAACUACUGGAAACGGUAGCUAAUACCGCAUAACGUCGCAAGACCAAAGAGGGGGACCUUCGGGCCUCUUGCCAUCGGAUGUGCCCAGAUGGGAUUAGCUAGUAGGUGGGGUAACGGCUCACCUAGGCGACGAUCCCUAGCUGGUCUGAGAGGAUGACCAGCCACACUGGAACUGAGACACGGUCCAGACUCCUACGGGAGGCAGCAGUGGGGAAUAUUGCACAAUGGGCGCAAGCCUGAUGCAGCCAUGCCGCGUGUAUGAAGAAGGCCUUCGGGUUGUAAAGUACUUUCAGCGGGGAGGAAGGGAGUAAAGUUAAUACCUUUACUCAUUGACGUUACCCGCAGAAGAAGCGCCGGCUAACUCCGUG